CAGAGGGUGCAAGCGUUGUUCGGAAUUACUGGGCGUAAAGCGUGCGUAGUCGGUAUUGAGAGUCGCGGGUGAAAUCCCAGGGCUUAACCCUGGAACUGCCUGCGAGACCUCAGUACUAGAGUGUGAGAGGGGAUAGUGGAAUACCCAGUGUAGCGGUGAAAUGCGUAGAGAUUGGGUGGAACACCGGUGGCGAAGGCGGCUAUCUGGCUCACAACUGACGAUCAGGCACGAAAGCGUGGGGAGCAAACAGGAUUAGAUACCCUGGUAGUCCACGCCGUAAACUAUGCAUACAAGCUGUAGUGGGAUUUUACUCCUGCUGUGGCGAAGCUAACGCAAUUAGUAUGCCGCCUGGGGAGUACGGUCGCAAGACUA
rnacentral:rRNA from 1 species